UAUAAAAUAAAAAAACAAGAAACGAGAAACACGUAUAUAUUACAUAAACAAACAACAACUACUGUACAUCAGAUUCCUGACUUAGGACAGGUGCAAACAUUUGCAGCGGGAUUAAACGUUUUAAUUGAUCCAAACCUUCUCCCUUUUUCUGAAACAAUAGCAUAACAUCACAACAUAGAAAAACACACGAUAAAAUAUCAAUUGGCAGGCUUAACUCAAUCAAAAAACGUACAUUAAUACACUAUAAACGAAUAAAUUUGAUCUGCGAUAUCUGAAUGCAAAUGCACAGUUAAUAAAAUAUUAGGGACAAACAUUCAAGGCCAAAAAGCCAACAAACAAGUCCAAACAAAGCCAUGUCAAGACACCACUGCGAAAUAUUUAACCCUUCGAAA
rnacentral:lncRNA from 1 species